AUUUCGGCCUUAGUUAUGCCAAAAAUGGAGAACUACUUAAAUAUAUUCGCAAAAUCGGUUCAUUCGAUGAGACCUGUACCCGAUUUUACACGGCUGAGAUUGUGUCUGCUUUAGAGUACUUGCACGGCAAGGGCAUCAUUCACAGGGACCUUAAACCGGAAAACAUUUUGUUAAAUGAAGAUAUGCACAUCCAGAUCACAGAUUUUGGAACAGCAAAAGUCUUAUCCCCAGAGAGCAAACAAGUUUGUUGAAGAAACAAGUCAUUUGCAUCUGUGUGGCGUUGUUGAACAUGGUCCUCUCUCCUGGCCACUACAUCACAUUCAGAGUUGAUUCUCCCCUCCCUGUUCAGAGACUGGUGGUGGGUGUUCUUUAUCCGGCAUCUCUCUGUGACAGCAGCAGCAUUUGUGGCCAUAAUUGGCCUAAAUUCAUGAACUCAUUAGAGAGUGCAGAAAGGUCACAGCCUGAUACAUUCAUGAGAUGCAAUUCAUUAAAGAGCAACUUCUCCCCAGCA
rnacentral:lncRNA from 10 species